CUUCUCUUCUUCAGUUCUAACAUUUCAAUUCUUUUUUCAGUUUAGUUCUGAAACAAUAUUCCUCAUUGACUCCUCUCUCUCUCUCUCUCUCUCUCUCUCUCUCUCUGUCUGUCUGUCUGUGUCUCUGUUUUUUUAGAAAUGUAUGUAUGAGUGAAGGUGGGGCAUUUUUACGGCACCUUCUUUGUCCGUAUUUUUUUUUAAAUUUUUUUUUGGUAAUGUGGAUUUUUAAUGAAUGAAUGGGGUUUGGGUCUUUUUGGAUGCUUGGAAUUUGUUGUUCAUCCCAUCAAUGUUAAUUUGAAUGGGGGCUAAUAAUCACGUGGAGAGGAUCUGCCUGACCAUUGAUUUGUUCAGUUGAAACGUGAGCCACUAAGGAUUUUUCUUUUCAAUGGUUUUGAUUCAGCCAUAUUGAUCUUAUCUAUGGUUAGAAUUAGACUUUAUAAGGCCAAUCGUUCGCGAUAUGGCAAGGGUUUAGAGGCUGUUUGGCCGUUCACAAUUAUUUUCUUGGCUUUCUUCCCUUCUAUUGCCAACAUUGCUGAUUUGGGGAUUUUAGGAAUUUUCUUUUCCCCUUGCGCACUAUUCUCCAAUGACCCAUAGCCCCCGAAGAUCUUGCACUUACCAUACAUGGAUCCGAGUAAUCUCAAGAGGAUGUUCUCACAAUUGUUGUUGCUGUUGUGAUGUUAACAUCCUUUCAUCUUCGGAAGCCAAAAGCUGCAAAAGGAACCAAUUGAAGCUUCUUCUUCUUCUUUUUCUUUCUUUCUAUGCAGGAUUAACCGAGAUCAGUAUUUGAAUACUGAAGAGUCCAUUGAUGCAGUGGCAGAGGAGCUGAAGGCAAGGCUGUCCAGCAAAUCAAAGAUGGGUUGAAGAAGAGAUGUGAUUGAGCCGUCAAUUUCUGGUAGUGGACGCAUGAAUGGCAUGUGCAUUGCAAAGAACAACCUGAAAAAUGCAUGUGCCAUGCUAGAAUUCAGCUAUAUUUGGUUUUCCACUCCUUUCGAUGAAGUUGAUUUUGUCCACGUUUCGAUGCCCCCGUCAAUUGAAUUGUGAAUGUUGCAUAGUAUCUCAUAAACAGUUGGUCCAACUGAUCGCUGGUUUCUGUGAUAGGCAUUCUCAAUGAACCCCGCCAACUGAGUAGCCUGAAUGCCACAAGCCUGCCAUGAAUUGCCUCUUCAAUUUCUGCUUGAGUUACCUCCCUUUUCCUGCUUGUUUCAAUUAGUGAUCAAGAGAAGAAUAUUAUGACCAAUGAAUUAUAGAUUUCUAAUUAUUUAAGAGAAUUUUGUGAUAAUUGAGUAACAUUAGCCUGUGAAAGUCACUUAGUUAUCCAUGACAUGUUUGCUAUCUUAUCAACCAUAAUCCCACUUAUUUAAUUUUCUUUUGGUAUACCUCUAAUAAUGUACUUCAAUUUAUCUAGAAACUUCUUUCUAUAUGUUUUAUGAACUAACGUCUAUGUAAAAUUAAACCUAUUGACAUCAUCAGAUAAUCAUAAGAGCCUUGUGGCAUAUUGGGAUUUUCAAGGUUUCCAUUCCAGCAACUCAUAUCUACACCCUGAUGCACAUGUCCCCAUCGAGCACCAACAUGUGUGCUGAUUUAUGUUGGUAUUCAGCCUAAAGGACAAGAUGUUGUACGUUUGUUGUAAUAGUAAAGUUGCUUCCAUAUAAGAAUGGACAAGGCCAUGAUGCUGAUGAUGAAAUUUGCUUUUGUAUCUCACUAAGAAGUUCCAUUUCUUCUGCUCAAAUCACUGUUAUUACUGUCAUGAGUUUCUGUUUGCUGAUUCUCUUGGAUGUCUAUGAACUUAUGCACUGGUAGGUUUUGAAAAGUUGACUUAAUGCACUGGUAAGGUUUUGAAAAGUUUCUGCUUCUCAGUGAAUUCCUAACUCCUAAAUAAUGAUUACUGAUGGUCUAUUCUUGAACUUGACAUACAGACAUAUGGCUUCUGUUGCUGCAGGAAACCAUGGGAUUCCAGUCAUUGUUGCUGGGCAUUGUUUUGGGAAUACAAGUGGCAUGGCUCCUCAUGCACAGUAAUUGAUUAAAUGAUGGGAUUCCAGUCAUCUGAAAGCUAUUGAUUGUUGCACAUUCGAUGAAUGCUUUCUUUCUCCUUGGUGAUGCUGCAUUGAAUUGCUUGGUUAUCUAGUGCGGAUUGGAAGUGAGCUCUCUGAAACUAGGUCGAACAAAGAAAUGCCAUACUUAGAAAAUGGAUAUUUACAAGGGUCUGAAGGGAAAAGCAUUGAAUCUCCAAGCACUGUUGUUGAUUCACAUCAAAAGAUGUUGAUGGUCUUGAGUAACAUUGGAUAUUGCAAAGAUCAACUUUCAUAUGAGUUGUACAAAUAAUUAAAAAAGAAACCGGAAUGGUUCUAUCAAGGCAGUUCGCAUGAUUUUAGGGAUGGAUAUGUUUGGAUCUGCACUGCCCAAACGUUUUGCUAGAGACAUUGAAAUUGAAGAUGACGCACCUAAAAGAAAGCCCUCAUUGAAGGAGAUUGAUGCCUUGUAGUGCUUGUGGGAGAUUUGAGCUUGGAUCCAUUUGUGAAGAUCACUUGGGAUAAAAGUCAGGUAGGUUCAUUCAUUUGGCAGCCACACGCUCAAAAACAAUAUUCUGUUUAAAAAAAAUCGGUAGUCUUACAUGUGUGGUCCAUCUAAUGAAUGGAUCAGCCUGAUGCUCUUACCUUUUUGCACAGCUCUAAUGUCCCAUAUGCAUUUGUGCUGCAUUUAAAUGUUUGUGUGGACUAUGGAGAGGUCUUAGGUCUCUGGUUCAAGCCCAGCUUACCUAUUCAAAAACUUUGUGCCGAUUUGGAUUUUUCAUGGAACUAUGCACUUCAAAGAGAUUUGUUAGUUACCAGAUGCCAACUACUCAGAACUCCUCUUAAAGCAUUGUAAUCACUAGUUAGUUUGAUCUAGCUGGACAAUGAGGAUGUUGAGAAACCAGUUUCAGAUUACUUUGGUGUGAUUGGAGAUGGUCUGAAGAAUUUUCCUCGUUUCUCCUGGUUCUACCAACAUUUUCAUGCUUUUAUGUCUUAACUUGACACUUUUCCAUACAGGUAUGUAUCUUUGUGGUGCUCGUCUUUUCAGUCUUAUUAUUGAUUUGUCCUUCAAAUAAAUUAUUUGACCAUGCUACUUUAUCAGUGAUCCCUGCAAUGCAUGUUGCUUUAGGAAGAGGAUGAAUCAAGAGUGAAAAUGUCUUUUAUUGUACCAUGUGAUCUUCACCAGCAAAGGGUUUGGUUUGAUGCAUGGGAUAGAAGCAAUUCCAACUUGGAUCACUUGAAGCUACAUUUUUUGUAGGCCAACUAAUAGCUACUGCUAAGUUGUGACCUUAAUUGGAGAGGUACUAUAAUAUGUUGAUUUGUAAAAUGGAAAUGGAAAUAAAAGUGUUGAAUUUCAUGCUAACUUAAUGUUGAAGUUUAGUUGUUUUAAACUUGUAUGUAUGGCGUCCGCUAGGGCUUUGAAUCAGGUUUCUUUUUCUGUUUUUUUCCCAUCUUUUUUCCCCUUUGUUUCUUACUCUCAUGUGUAAGAGUUCAUAGUGCC